rnacentral:tRNA from 2 species
GUCCCUAUCGUCUAGUGGUUAGGACGCUGACCUUUCACGUCAAUAACAUGGGUUCAAAUCCCAUUAGGGAUG